UAACAAGGGAUUGAACUGCACUUCCAGCCUGGAUGAGUGUACAGUUAUGAUUUUAGUGGAGCCAUUUGUGAAGGGCUCACACAGAGGGUAAUGGCAGUGGGAGCAAGUGGAAUCCCAGGAAACAAAAAUACGAUUCUCAUAUGAACCCAUCUCCAAAAAGAAUGCAAAGAAAAUAUAUUCAAUGCAAACACUCUUUCAGUGAAACCUUAUGGUCAUAAAGUAAAAAGGCACAAAACUCAGAAGUUUCAGCACUAGGCUUUUGUGGUUUUGUUGCAUUUUUUUCAUUAAACUUUUAGCUUUUGUGUCUGUCUCCCAUCCUGAUUUGCCUCAGUGGAUCUGAGUUAAUGUCUGAGGUAAAAGUUUGUAUUCUAAAUUUCUGACACAGAGCCACGUCUAUUAGGCACCAUGGCUUAAGUUUGCAAACUAUGAGCACAAGUAUGUUAAAAACCCCCAAAAAAAUGAAAUUAAAUUUCUCUGUGAACACUGA